AACGAACGCUGGCGGCAUGCCUUACACAUGCAAGUCGAACGGCAGCACGGGAGCAAUCCUGGUGGCGAGUGGCGAACGGGUGAGUAAUAUAUCGGAACGUGCCCAGUCGUGGGGAUAACGUAGCGAAAGCUACGCUAAUACCGCAUACGAUCUAUGGAUGAAAGCGGGGGAUCGCAAGACCUCGCGCGAUUGGAGCGGCCGAUAUCAGAUUAGGUAGUUGGUGAGGUAAAGGCUCACCAAGCCGGCGAUCUGUAGCUGGUCUGAGAGGACGACCAGCCACACUGGAACUGAGACACGGUCCAGACUCCUACGGGAGGCAGCAGUGGGGAAUUUUGGACAAUGGACGCAAGUCUGAUCCAGCCAUUCCGCGUGCAGGAUGAAGGCCCUCGGGUUGUAAACUGCUUUUGUACGGAACGAAACGGUGAGCUCUAAUACAGUUUGCUAAUGACGGUACCGUAAGAAUAAGCACCGGCUGACUACGU
rnacentral:rRNA from 1 species